AGAAGUGCGAAUGCUGACAUAAGUAACGAUAAAGCGGGUGAAAAGCCCGCUCGCCGGAAGACCAAGGGUUCCUGUCCAACGUUAAUCGGGGCAGGGUGAGUCGACCCCUAAGGCGAGGCCGAAAGGCGUAGUCGAUGGGAAACAGGUUAAUAUUCCUGUACUUGGUGUUACUGCGAAGGGGGGACGGAGAAGGCUAUGUUGGCCGGGCGACGGUUGUCCCGGUUUAAGCGUGUAGGCUGGUUUUCCAGGCAAAUCCGGAAAAUCAAGGCUGAGGCGUGAUGACGAGGCACUACGGUGCUGAAGCAACAAAUGCCCUGCUUCCAGGAAAAGCCUCUAAGCAUCAGGUAACAUCAAAUCGUACCCCAAACCGACACAGGUGGUCAGGUAGAGAAUACCAAGGCGCUUGAGAGAACUCGGGUGAAGGAACUAGGCAAAAUGGUGCCGUAACUUCGGGAGAAGGCACGCUGAUAUGUAGGUGAAGUCCCUCGCGGAUGGAGCUGAAAUCAGUCGAAGAUACCAGCUGGCUGCAACUGUUUAUUAAAAACACAGCACUGUGCAAACACGAAAGUGGACGUAUACGGUGUGACGCCUGCCCGGUGCCGGAAGGUUAAUUGAUGGGGUUAGCGCAAGCGAAGCUCUUGAUCGAAGCCCCGGUAAACGGCGGCCGUAACUAUAACGGUCCUAAGGUAGCGAAAUUCCUUGUCGGGUAAGUUCCGACCUGCACGAAUGGCGUAAUGAUGGCCAGGCUGUCUCCACCCGAGACUCAGUGAAAUUGAACUCGCUGUGAAGAUGCAGUGUACCCGCGGCAAGACGGAAAGACCCCGUGAACCUUUACUAUAGCUUGACACUGAACAUUGAGCCUUGAUGUGUAGGAUAGGUGGGAGGCUUUGAAGUGUGGACGCCAGUCUGCAUGGAGCCGACCUUGAAAUACCACCCUUUAAUGUUUGAUGUUCUAACGUUGACCCGUAAUCCGGGUUGCGGACAGUGUCUGGUGGGUAGUUUGACUGGGGCGGUCUCCUCCUAAAGAGUAACGGAGGAGCACGAAGGUUGGCUAAUCCUGGUCGGACAUCAGGAGGUUAGUGCAAUGGCAUAAGCCAGCUUGACUGCGAGCGUGACGGCGCGAGCAGGUGCGAAAGCAGGUCAUAGUGAUCCGGUGGUUCUGAAUGGAAGGGCCAUCGCUCAACGGAUAAAAGGUACUCCGGGGAUAACAGGCUGAUACCGCCCAAGAGUUCAUAUCGACGGCGGUGUUUGGCACCUCGAUGUCGGCUCAUCACAUCCUGGGGCUGAAGUAGGUCCCAAGGGUAUGGCUGUUCGCCAUUUAAAGUGGUACGCGAGCUGGGUUUAGAACGUCGUGAGACAGUUCGGUCCCUAUCUGCCGUGGGCGCUGGAGAACUGAGGGGGGCUGCUCCUAGUACGAGAGGACCGGAGUGGACGCAUCACUGGUGUUCGGGUUGUCAUGCCAAUGGCACUGCCCGGUAGCUAAAUGCGGAAGAGAUAAGUGCUGAAAGCAUCUAAGCACGAAACUUGCCUCGAGAUGAGUUCU
rnacentral:rRNA from 1 species